GCGGCGGUGAGAACAGUGAGAACGGGUCCCCUGAUGUCGCAGUACUAUGGAUGGCCCCACCCCAACUUGGCUCUCCGGCUCCCAGGCUGCAGAGGGCAGAGCCUCUGAAGAAAGGACAGGCUGCGGCGAGGACACAGGGGAUGGCUGGCAGCUGCGUUGCCGAGAGGAAAUUUCAACUGUAGCCACACAGAAAAAUAGAGGUCACAGCUGAGUGGAAAGACUGCAUCGGUGUGAGAAAUCCCAGGCUCUGUCCCUUGGAUGGCCAGCAACCAGAAGAAUCUCUCAGCUGCCACCGGGGUCCAGGACACCACCGAAUUGACACAAGCCUGCUCUCCUCCCAAAGGUAG